GCAGACUCACUCUGUACCUGGCUGCAGACCCCCAGCGAGUGCUUCUUUCAUCUGCCAGAGAAGCAUACUGGGGUGCUCUGGCCACCUCGACCUGUUGGGUGAUGCAGCUUUCCCAGGACACAAGG
ensembl:snoRNA